rnacentral:rRNA from 1 species
AGCGAAACGGGAAGAGCCCAAACCAACAAGCUUGCUUGUUGGGGUUGUAGGACACUCUAUACGGAGUUACAAAGGACGACAUUAGACGAAUCAUCUGGAAAGAUGAAUCAAAGAAGGUAAUAAUCCUGUAGUCGAAAAUGUUGUCUCUCUUGAGUGGAUCCUGAGUACGACGGAGCACGUGAAAUUCCGUCGGAAUCUGGGAGGACCAUCUCCUAAGGCUAAAUACUCUCUAGUGACCGAUAGUGAACCAGUACCGUGAGGGAAAGGUGAAAAGCACCCCGGAAGGGGAGUGAAAUAGAACCUGAAACCGUGUGCUUACAAGUAGUCA